UACGGAGGGUGCGAGCGUUGUCCGGAAUCACUGGGCGUAAAGGGCGCGUAGGCGGCCUGAUAAGUAGGGGGUGAAAUCCUGCGGCUUAACCGCAGGGCUGCCUUCUAAACUGUCGGGCUAGAGCACGGUAGAGGCAGAUGGAAUUCCCGGUGUAGCGGUGGAAUGCGUAGAGAUCGGGAAGAACAUCAGUGGCGAAGGCGGUCUGCUGGGCCGUUGCUGACGCUGAGGCGCGACAGCAUGGGUAGCGAACAGG
rnacentral:rRNA from 1 species